AUCCCAUGAUGUGGAUAUUUUCUGAUGAGAUCCUUGAACCUCUCCUAAGCCUCAUACAGAGAUUCAUUGUCCAGUUGACAAAAAACUUUGACAAGAAUUUUGUUACC